rnacentral:pre_miRNA from 1 species
UCUAAUUGAUGAACAAAGAAAGCGGUUUCCUGAGAUGGAAUCUUCUCCUGGUGAAGAUGCUGUGAA